UACGAAGGACCCGAGCGUUAUCCGGAUUUAUUGGGUUUAAAGGGCGCGUAGGCGUCCUGGAAAGUUACGGUUGAAAUCUCCUUGCUUAACAAGGAAGCUGGCCGUAAAACUAUCAGGAUUGAGUACAUUUGAAGCGGGCGGAAUGUGUCAUGUAGCGGUGAAAUGCUUAGAUAUGACACAGAACACCAAUUGCGAAGGCAGCUCGCUAAACUGUAACUGACGCUGAGGCACGAAAGCGUGGGGAUCAAACAGG
rnacentral:rRNA from 1 species